UGUGUUUGUUAAAGGCUAUUUCAGCAC
rnacentral:piRNA from 1 species